GCCGUGAUGCCAUGGACUUGACACACUCUAGAUGGGAGGGAUUCAGACGUAGCACUUAAUAGCAGGCCUAUUCCUUCUGGUAGGAUAUAUCCGCACCCUAGGCCAUGCUAAGCUAAUAGAUAUGCACUGUUCUAAUGCAGUCGGGCAAAGUAACGGUAGACUUCACAGAGUCGUCGUGUGAAACGUGGCUAUUGGUUCAUUACACAAUUGCCCUUUAAUGGCGUUCUCCUCUGGCCUCCGACUGAAACGAGACCCUGUUGGGGGAUGAGGUGUUUCUCAGUGGUCGUGAGGUCAUGGUCGCACCGCUGUCAACGCAAAAGGGAAUAAUAAUACGUCCGAAUGGAAGCUGAACUGUGAAAUCCCAUUCUCCCUGGCUCGGGAGCUCAGUGACUCGGACAGCCGCCUGACGCGAGUGAUCCACGGAGGGGAAGUGUCCCGUUUGUGACAUCGUGUUUCCUCCUCUGCCUCUUAACUCUCUCUCUCUCUCCCUCCCUCUCUCUCCCCCUCCCUACCUCCUCCCCAUCCUCUUGCUGUGCUGUGCUAGACAGGGGAGAUCCUGAGUAAGGCCCUGCCCCAGCUCGGCCUGGCUGUCUCCUCCAUGACAGUCUCUUCUGGAGGACCCGGAGGGCCUCCUCAUACCCAGAGGCCCACAUGCUCAACAUACGGAGAAGGUGCCCGCUAUACUUUCAUCUGGUGUUCCCUGGGUUGGUCCUAACUUACCUGCAGGAUGGGUUCGGCUGUGCAGAGGUACAGGGAGGCAGGCAGACACCAGUGGAACGCCAGUGGUGACCCCCCCGACAGACCCGGACCAUGGCCAGGUCACAGUACUGAGUAUCAGUAAAGCACAUUGAUAAAGGGUCUGUGGAUGUGAUGUCAGUGACACCAAUCAUGGAGCAGUCCCAGCAGAACCCCCAGCCUCCCUUCAGGACAAGGGCCAGGCAGGGGCCAAGCAGACAGGGGCCUCCAAGGCAAGGGCCAAGCAGGCAAGGGCCAAGCAGGCAAGGGCCAAGCAGGCAGGGGCCUACCAGGCAGGGGCCUGGGCCAGCAGGGAGAGAGCCCAGCUGUCAGUGGCCCUGCUGACGAAACUCAAAGACAAAACACCCUCAGGCUAUGUCUCAAAGGUAGGCCACUGCCCGGGUGCCUGCUGCUGACAUGGCUCACUGUUAUUGUUCAAUGACAUUCAAUGUUUUCCAUCCGUUUUCUGUAAGAUAGAUUCCUCAGAUAUUUUUUGAAAUAUUUUAAAAAAGGCCUAGAGCUCGCUGACUGGCACGAAUUUAGAGAGAGACACAGGGUAAGAGAAGGAUAGAGAAAGAAAGAAAAACAGAGGAGAUAUCAGGGGAACUGGGAUUUAAUUUUCUUUUGGAGCAAAGAACUAAAACCUGAUGAAAUGUUCAACGCCCUUGUAUUGUAAUAUGAUAUACUUUGACUGUCAGGGUCAGUCAACUAAUGUUAAUCCCCAAUAAGGUGAAUCAAAAUAAUCAUUUAUUUAAUGAUUUCUACUCUUAUUAUUUCGUGAGGCUUGAUUGAGACUUUUCGAUAAUAUAGAGGCGUUGGCUGAGAUGGUUCCUAUCCCUAUCAAGAUACGGUACAUUAUAUUAUGAAUUCACCCAACCACAGAAAUAUCUGUGUGCGCUGUGUGAGCAUUAGCAUCACAGAGCUCUAACGUCCAAAGUAUGGUUAGGCUAAAUGAUCAUAAUCAGAGAGAACUCUGCCUCUGUCUGAGUGGAGAGAGACACCGUGGUCUGUAGUGCAUAAAGAGCCCUCACCCCCAGCACACACACACACACACACACACACACACACACACACACACACACACACACACACACACACACACACACACACACACACACACACACACACACACACACACAACGCCUUGCUCAGUUUCAACACUGUGCUUCCCCUACACAUCCCAGCCUCUUUAAUGCAAUUGAACAAUAUCAGAUUAGUCGCUUCACGAUUCAUUUACGAGCCCGUGUUAAAUCGUCGUCGCUCAGACAGUCAACAAGUAACGCAGCGCCAGCACUGCUGUGCCACUAGAUGACCUGACACGGCCCCAGAUGUGGCCCCAGAUGAAGACGGAUGUUUUUGUCGUGUUAAAUGGGUGUGUACCUGUAUACCUCAGCCCACUGCUCACUGAGCGCGGAAGUAGGGGUUGGAGCAGGCUAGACCAUGUCUCGUUUGCAACUGAAGCCCAUUGCAACGUGCUUGAUCCUCUCACCCAGCCCCUCCACGUCCUCAUGCUCCAUUUGUCAUUGUUGUCGUUGUUGUGUGAAGGGAAACAUCUCCGUUAUAAAAUGCAACACACAACAGCUUUAAUUGAGCCUCUCCGGAGGGGAAUAAUUUGAUUAUUCUGAUAAAGAGAAAUCUAUAAAUAUGAUCAAUCCCAAUCCAUUUUUAGAUAAAAGAGCAGGGACAAUACAGUUAUGCUAUCUGCUCUAAUUGACCUCAUUUAGUAUAUGCAUAAAUCAUUAUUCUCAUCGUGGAUAUUAAAUGUAACGUGAAAUGAAACAUCUAAUGUUUAUCAAACAAACAAUUUCAGCGCCGUUUUCCUCUUGCAGAACUUUUAUGAAUGCAAUUUGCUACCCGAAUGACCCUGUAUGAUUGUAUUUAAACAAUUACUGAAAAUGAAUUCUGCCAGGUUCAUUUAAAAAUCCAUAUCCAUGAGCUGCCUUUUUAAUUGAUGUCGAUAUAUUGCGAGAAGCACAACAUUUUUAAGAAGCAGUUAUUUUAUGGUAAUUUUUUGGGGGGUCAACUUGUAUUUUAUUUGAUUGAACCUUUAUUUAACUAGGCAAGUCAGUUAAGAACAAAAACCUUAUUUACAGUGACCAAACCAGGACAUCGUUGGACAAAUUGUGUUCUGCCCUCCCAAUCUUGAACCAGGGACCCCUCUUGCACUGAGAUACAGUGCCUUAGACCGCUGCACCGCUGUGAGAGUUCAGCAUACCCUCUUGUAUUUCUGGUUCCAUACUUUAAACGUGUGUUAUUUUUGGCUACAUCACAAUGAAGCAGAAUACUUUAUUAAGUUAAUAACGUAAGUUGAAUCUCAUGCCUCUAAAUGAAUACAACCGCUCCCGUAUAAUGAUAUUCCAAAUAAUAUAU